rnacentral:lncRNA from 1 species
GUGAAACUUUGGCGAACCAAGUAUAUGUUGUUGCUACGGAGGAACUCUGAUACCAUGCAUAAAAGCUCUCUGCUGCGGGGUAAAUUGUGGCAUCGCCAUUUCAAAGUGUACGGGGUAUUAUACGAGAGAAUGCGUUUCAGCACAAACAACUCGAAAGCACAAAUUCCAUGGAAAUUCCACGGAACUCUCAUGCGAGUAAAAAUGAAUUCAUAAUGAAGCAAGAACAGCACCAACAGAGAAAAAUGUAACGCUUUCAUAGGCUUUUUGGAGGA